rnacentral:rRNA from 1 species
GAACGCUGGCGGCAGGCCUAACACAUGCAAGUCGAGCGCGCCCUUCGGGGUGAGCGGCGGACGGGUUAGUAACGCGUGGGAACGUGCCCAGAUCUAAGGAAUAGCCACUGGAAACGGUGAGUAAUACCUUAUACGCCCUUCGGGGGAAAGAUUUAUCGGAUUUGGAUCGGCCCGCGUUAGAUUAGGUAGUUGGUGGGGUAAUGGCCUACCAAGCCUACGAUCUAUAGCUGGUUUUAGAGGAUGAUCAGCAACACUGGGACUGAGACACGGCCCAGACUCCUACGGGAGGCAGCAGUGGGGAAUCUUGGACAAUGGGGGCAACCCUGAUCCAGCCAUGCCGCGUGAGUGAUGAAGGC